UGNNNUCGANCGAGGAGCAAUUAAGCUUGCUUUUGAGCUCCUAGUGGCGGACGGGUUAGUAACACGUGAGUAACUUGCCUCGGAGUGGGAGAUAGUCCCGGGAAACUGGGUUUAAUACCGCAUAUGCUCUACGGAGUAAAGAGGGCUUCGGCUCUCGCUUUGAGAUAGGCUCGCGUCCUAUCAGCUUGUUGGUGAGGUAACGGCUCACCAAGGCGACGACGGGUAGUUGGUCUGAGAGGACGACCAGCAACACUGGAACUGAGACACGGUCCAGACACCUACGGGUGGCAGCAGUCGAGAAUCAUUCACAAUGGGGGCAACCCUGAUGGUGCAACGCCGCGUGGAGGAUGAAGGCCCUAGGGUCGUAAACUCCUGUCAUAAUAGAGUAAGGCAUGGUCGUUAAAAGCUUCCAUGUUUGAUAGUAUAUUAAGAGGAAGGGACGGCUAACUUCGUGCCAGCAGCCGCGGUAAUACGAAGGUCCCGAGCGUUAUUCGGAAUCACUGGGCGUAAAGGGAGCGUAGGCGGCGAGGUAAGUCAGAUGUGAAAGCCCGGGGCUCAACCCCGGAACUGCAUUCGAUACUGCCCUGCUUGAGUAGUGGAGAGGCAAAUGGAAUUUUGGGUGUAGCAGUGAAAUGCGUGGAUAUCCAAAGGAAGACCAAUGGCGAANGCAAUUUGCUGGACACUUACUGACGCUGANGCUCGNANNNCNNGGAGCGAAAGGG
rnacentral:rRNA from 1 species